rnacentral:lncRNA from 10 species
UUUUAAAGUGCACACUUUGAUAAGCAUACAUAGGUACACACCUGUGAAACCAUCGCCAAAAUCAAGAUCAUGACCGUAUCCACAAAUUUCAUGAUUCUGUAGGUCAAGGAUUAGAGCAGCCAUAAGCAGAGAGUUUGUCCCUGAUACACGAUGUUUUUGGCCACAGCUGUAGUUGUUUGGAUAGCUGGGGGCUCCUGGGAUGGCUAGAGUGGGAUCAUAUGCCUGGAGUCUUCAUUCUUCUCCAUUGGAUGUUUGCUGGGAUGAGAAGGUCCAAGAUAGUCCUUUGAUAAUGUGUCGUGGUGCCUGGGCUGGGAUGGCUGAAACACAGGAGACCUAGCAGAAAUUCUCUAUACUCACCGCCAUCUCCGGAUAGUCAGACUUCUCACUCGGCAGCUGGCUUCCCCCAGGUCCGAAGUUCAAGAGACUUUCAAAAGACAGGAAGUGAAAGCUGCCAGUCUCUUUCAGCCUGAGCCCGAGACACUGGCACAGUUUUACUUCCACUAUGCUUUAUUGGUCAAAGCAGUCUCUGAGCCCACCCAGAUUCUGGGAAAGAAGGACAUUGACACCACCUCUUGAUGAGAUAAUGUCAAAGAAUUUUGACCAUCUUUAAAGCACCACAACGCAUGUUGGAUAUUCUAUAUUCCUGAGUGAAAGAAGACUUCAAUUUGGUCACAUGAACAAACUAUUUCUGUGUUUUACAAGGGCAAUAGUAGGGAAAGGAGGUGGUAGUAAUAUCAGAAUUUCCAUCAACUCUUCUGUCUUCGUUGCUGUUUAUCAAGUAAUGUUCUUCAAACAAACUGGAGUUGCUAUGCCUUGAUAUGGUAUAAAUGAGUGUGUUUUGGAUACAAAUACACAUGGUAAAGACAGAGUCUCUGCUUGCUCUGUCACCCAGUUUGGAGGGCAGUGGCACGAUCGUGGAUAACUGCAGCCUCGACCUCCCAAGCUGAAGCAGUCCUACCACCUCAGCCUGCCAAGUAACUGGGAUUACA